CUUUUUAAAUGAUGUAUAUUGCUUUUCUGUUUGUUUAUGAAUUUAUUUAUUUAUAUAUUUUAAUAGGUGGAUUUGACACAGCACAUGCUGCAGCUAGGGCAUAUGAUCGAGCUGCGAUCAAGUUCCGUGGCAUUGAUGCAGAUAUCAAUUUCAACGUCAGCGAUUAUGAUGAAGAUAUAAAGCAUAUGAGUAACUUUA